rnacentral:lncRNA from 1 species
AUGUCUGUAAAUUGUAAAUAUGGCUUUAUAUUAUUCUCUGGGUCUUUUUUUGUGGCGCCGUAUCUUAUUCCCGCUGAUGCACCUCCUGAAUGUCUGUCAUUCUCACCUAUGUCUCUCCCUUUCUACCCUUCUUCUAGCCAUUCUCAUCACUUCCCUGAUCUGUCUAAAUUCUGCCCAGCAGUCCAUGAAAAUGGUGUGCUGAUGACAUAUGUAAGGACUCUAACUCCCCUCAAGCAAUCUGCUCACCUCAAAAGAAUGUCUAGAAACCUCCUAAGGGAAGCAAGCAUAGGCCACUUGGAAGAAGUUUCAAGAAGGAGAGCUGACACCAACUUUGUACACUGGCAGUACAAGGGGCCCUCAGUAAGUGUUACCCUUCCUUUGAGUCAGACAGCUUCAAGCUUGGUGAUCUCUGUCGACCUCAACCUCAAGGCUUUGUCUAGAGGGUCAAAUGAGAAAAACAACAACCAGCUGGUGCAUUUUUCAGGAGUCAUGCAAGUGCUGUUGUCUUCCCUCUCUUUAGGCUUUGAUGAUUUAGUCGUUACAUUUACUGUAACACUUAUCAUGAUCUGUUGUUUUUUCAAGUUAUUUAGGCUGAUGCUUCUAAAGCUAACUGUAUUAAGGACCAUUUAAAAAAUUUCCAGUGCUUUUCAAGUAAAUACUUUUGUA